rnacentral:rRNA from 1 species
AAACCAACAGGGAUUGCCUCAGUAGCGGCGAGUGAAGCGGCAAGAGCUCAGAUUUGAAAUCUCACCUAGUGUGCGAGUUGUAAAUUGCAGGUUGGAGUCUCGGUUUAGACGUGUGUGCAAGUCCCUUGGAACAGGGCGCCACUGAGGGUGAGAGCCCCGUAGUGUGCACGUCGAUAGCUGUGAGGCCCUUCUGACGAGUCGAGUUGUUUGGGAAUGCAGCUCUAAGUGGGUGGUAAAUUCCAUCUAAGGCUAAAUAUUGGCGAGAGACCGAUAGCGAACAAGUACUGUGAAGGAAAGAUGAAAAGCACUUUGAAAAGAGAGUGAAACAGCACGUGAAAUUGUUGAAAGGGAAGGGUAUUGGGCUCGACAUGGGAUUUACGCAUCGUUGCCUCUCGUGGGCGGCGCUCUGGGUUUUUCCUGGGCCAGCAUCGGUUUUCGUUGCAGGAUAAGGACCUUUGGAAUGUGGCUCCUCGGAGUGUUAUAGCCAUUGGUAGAUGCUGCAUAUGGGGACCGAGGGCUGCGGCGGACUUGUUUCGUCUCGGAUGCUGGCACAACGGCGCAAUACCGC